rnacentral:rRNA from 1 species
UACGUAGGGUGCAAGCGUUGUCCGGAAUUAUUGGGCGUAAAGAGCUCGUAGGCGGUCUGUCACGUCGGCUGUGAAAACUCGGGGCUCAACCCCGAGCCUGCAGUCGAUACGGGCAGACUAGAGUCCGGCAGGGGAGACUGGAAUUCCUGGUGUAGCGGUGAAAUGCGCAGAUAUCAGGAGGAACACCGGUGGCGAAGGCGGGUCUCUGGGCCGGAACUGACGCUGAGGAGCGAAAGUGUGGGGAUCAAACAGG